AUCUGGCUCAGGACGAACGCUGGCGGCGUGCCUAAUACAUGCAAGUCGAACGCGUCUCCGUUAAUGAUUUUAGGUGCUUGCACUUGAAAGAUUUAACAUUGAGACGAGUGGCGAACUGGUGAGUAACACGUGGGUAACCUGCCCUUGAAGUAGGGGAUAACACUUGGAAACAGGUGCUAAUACCGUAUAACAACCAAAACCACCUGGUUUUGGUUUAAAAGACGGCUUCGGCUGUCACUUUAGGAUGGACCCGCGGCGUAUUAGCUUGUUGGUAAGGUAACGGCCUACCAAGGCGAUGAUACGUAGCCGACCUGAGAGGGUAAUCGGCCACAUUGGGACUGAGACACGGCCCAAACUCCUACGGGAGGCAGCAGUAGGGAAUCUUCCACAAUGGACGAAAGUCUGAUGGAGCAACGCCGCGUGAGUGAUGAAGGGUUUCGGCUCGUAAAACUCUGUUGUUGGAGAAGAACAGGUGUCAGAGUAACUGUUGACAUCUUGACGGUAUCCAACCAGAAAGCCACGGCUAACUACGUGCCAGCAGCCGCGGUAAUACGUAGGUGGCAAGCGUUGUCCGGAUUUAUUGGGCGUAAAGCGAGCGCAGGCGGUUUUUUAGGUCUGAUGUGAAAGCCUUCGGCUUAACCGGAGAAGUGCAUCGGAAACCGGGAGACUUGAGUGCAGAAGAGGACAGUGGAACUCCAUGUGUAGCGGUGAAAUGCGUAGAUAUAUGGAAGAACACCAGUGGCGAAGGCGGCUGUCUGGUCUGUAACUGACGCUGAGGCUCGAAAGCAUGGGUAGCGAACAGGAUUAGAUACCCUUGGUAG
rnacentral:rRNA from 1 species